GAUGAACGCUGGCGGCGUGCCUAAUACAUGCAAGUCGAGCGAACGGACGAGAAGCUUGCUUCUCUGAUGUUAGCGGCGGACGGGUGAGUAACACGUGGAUAACCUACCUAUAAGACUGGGAUAACUUCGGGGAACCGGAGCUAAUACCGGAUGAUAUUUUGAACCGCAUGGUUCAAAAGUGAAAGACGGUCUUGCUGUCACUUAUAGAUGGAUCCGCGCUGCAUUAGCUAGUUGGUAAGGUAACGGCUUACCAAGGCAACGAUGCAUAGCCGACCUGAGAGGGUGAUCGGCCACACUGGAACUGAGACACGGUCCAGACUCCUACGGGAGGCAGCAGUAGGGAAUCUUCCGCAAUGGGCGAAAGCCUGACGGAGCAACGCCGCGUGAGUGAUGAAGGUCCUCGGAUCGUAAAACUCUGUUAUUAGGGAAGAACAUAUGUGUAAGUAACUGUGCACAUCUUGACGGUACCUAAUCAGAAAGCCACGGCUAACUACGUG
rnacentral:rRNA from 1 species